AAAAGAAUCUGAAAAAAAAAAAAAAAAAAAAUAAAAUAAAUAAUACAUACUUGCAUGUG
rnacentral:ribozyme from 1 species